rnacentral:misc_RNA from 1 species
GAUGAAGAACGUAGCGAAAUGCGAUAAGUAAUGUGAAUUGCAGAAUUCAGUGAAUCAUCGAGUCUUUGAACGCACAUUGCGCCCCCUGGUAUUCCGGUGGGCAUGCCUGUCCGAGCGUCAUUGCUGCCCUCAAGCACGGCUUGUGUGUUGGGCCCCCGUCCCCGGUUUCCCCCGGGGACGGGCCCGAAAGGCAGCGGCGGCACCGCGUCCGGUCCUCGAGCGUAUGGGGCUUUGUCACCCGCUCUGUAGGCCCGGCCGGCGCCAGCCGACACCCAACUUUAUUUCUAAGGUUGACCUCGGAUCAGGUAGGGAUACCCGCUGAACUUAAGCAUAUCAAUAAGCGGAGGA